GACGAACCGUGCGAACGUUGUUCGGAAUCACUGGGCUUAAAAGGGCGCGUAGGCGGGGCGGCCAAGUCAGAGGUGAAAUCCUGCAGCUCAACUGCAGAAGUGCCCCUGAUACUGGUUGUCUCGAGGGAGGUAGGGGCAUGUGGAACUUCCGGUGGAGCGGUGAAAUGCGUAGAUAUCGGAAGGAACAUCAGUGGCGAAAGCGACUUCCUGGACCAAUACUGACGCUCAUGUGCGAAAGCGUGGGGAGCAAACAGG
rnacentral:rRNA from 1 species